rnacentral:rRNA from 1 species
GACGAACGCUGGCGGCGUGCCUAAUACAUGCAAGUAGAACGCAGUUGCGAACGGGUGAGUCACGCGUAGGUAACUGCCUCAUAGCGGGGGAAAACUUUUGGAAACGAUAGCUAAUAACGCAUACUGUGAGAUGGAACUGCUUGGUAUUAGCCAGGUGGUGAGGUAAAGGCUCACCAAGGCGACGAUACAUAGACGACCUGAGAGGGAGAUCGGCCACACUGGGACUUGGACACGGGCCAGGCUCCCAAGGGAUGCAGCCAUAGGGAAUCUUCGGCAAUUGACGGCAGUCUGACCGAGCAACGCCGCGGGAGAGAAGUAGGUUUUCGGAUCGUAAAGCUCUUUUGUUAGAGGAGCGGUAACUAACCAAAAAGGGACGGCUAACUACGUGCCAGCAGCCGCGGUAAUAC